rnacentral:rRNA from 1 species
CCUACGGGGAGCAGCAGUGGGGAAUAUUGCACAAUGGGGGAAACCCUGAUGCAGCGACGCCGCGUGAGCGAUGAAGUAUUUCGGUAGGUAAAGCGCUAUCAGCAGGGAAGAAAAGGACGGUAACUGACUAAGAAGCCCCGGCUAACUACGGGCCAGCAGCCUCGGUAAUACGUAGGGGGGAAGCGUUAUCCGGAUUUACGGGGUGUAAAGGGAGCGUAGACGGCGGUGCAAGCCAGAUGUCAACGCCCGGGGCUCAACCCCGGGACUGCAUUUGGAACUGUGCUGCUAGAGUGUCGGAGAGGCAGGCGGAAUUCCUAGUGUAGCGGUGAAAUGCGUAGAUAUUAGGAGGAACACCAGUGGCGAAGGCGGCCUGCUGGACGAUGACUGACGUUGAGGCUCGAAAGCGUGGGGAGCAAACAGGAUUAGAUACCCCUGGUAGUC